rnacentral:piRNA from 1 species
UGGUGUGAUCUCGGCUCACUGCAACCUCCU